rnacentral:tRNA from 1 species
GGACCUGUAGUAUAUAUCAGUAUGUUUAAUUGCAGAUUAAGAGGUGUGGGGUCUU